rnacentral:lncRNA from 1 species
GUAGGGCCAAUGAGUUGGAGACAUUUUAGAGUAUGCCAUAACUGAGAAACUUUGGAUAUAGAGGGAAACUAACCAAUUUUUAAAGGAAGAUUUCCAAUUAAAAUCAGUGUGAACCCCCAAACCAUUACCAUUUUGUCUAAAUAAACUUCACUGGUUUCUGUUUAAGCAAACAUUAUUGAGUUUUGAGGAUUUGAACUCUAGUUUCUACUACUGCCAAAUUAUGCAAAGACUAGACUACAUAGGCUCCUAGUAUUUAUUAGGAUUAUACAUUGGUGAGCAUAUCAUGUGAGGAUCACAUAAAGGUGUCGUUAGUAAGAAUGGAAACUUCUAAGUAAGCAAGUGAGAUCUGGGAGUAAAUCCUGGCCCAUCGUCUGUCAUAAAUGUUGUCUUAAAUAAGCUUCAUUAAGUUGCAAGAUGUAUAAACCUAUUCAGACUAGCAAAAAGUAUUCUAUUUCAAGGACCCGUGGAUAAUUUCACAGGAUUGAGGAAUAUGGCAAUCAACCAGCUCUCAUAAGGGCAUAACCAGCUACUUGUUAGAAAACCAAAAAAAAAAAAAAAAAAAAAAAGCAAAAACAAACAAACAAAAAACCAUCAGGAGCCCAGGAAGCCACUCUAUCCAGCUCUGUGGGAACAGAUUACAAUGUAUCUAUCUCUUUUUCCCCUUCAACUAUGUGUAUCCUUUUUUUUCCUUGUAAGUAUUGAGACUAAUGUCAUAAAGUGGCUUCUCCCACCCUCUGGCUUCAUCACCCUCCAGCUUCAGUGCCACUACCUAAAUUCCAGAGAGAAUGAAUCUGAUUGAUCCAGCUCAUGUGAGUUGCCCACAUGUACUCUGAUUAUCACAGAGUACAAAUAUGGCUACAGGGGCCCAAUUUCUUUGGACUGGGAAAAACUUUCAGAGAAAAGGGACAAAGGGUGGCAUGAGACACCUCCUAAUUUGACUACCCAUUUAGACACAAACUAGCAAGUUUUUGCAAAGAUUGAGCCUACCUUCCAACAUUCCUCAAUGCCUCUUUCCUCCUUCUUGCUAAAAGCCUUUCUCUCCAUAUAUAGACCUUCUGCCCAUUCAGUCUCAUUGAAAUCUUGAUAAAGGCUGAGACUUCACCUGAUUGUUCCCAGGACCCUGUCUAAUGAGACCCCAGUUGCUGGAGAAAAUAUCUGUCUAGUCAGGCUCUCUCUCACUGUGAAAGGCACUGAGAGGAUUUAAUUCGUAGAGUGAUUAGAAUCUGAUUUCCUAGAUACUAAUUAUCUGCGUGCCAGCCAGAGUUAGCAGGAAACCUCCUUCAAGGGGCAUGGCACGCAGAUAAUUAGUAUCUAGGAAAUCAGAUUCUAAUCACUCUACGAAUUAAAUCCUCUCAGUGCCUUUCACAGUGAGAGAGAGCCUGACUAGACAGAUAUUUUCUCCAGCAACUGGGCUCUCAUUAGACAGGGUCCUGGGAACAAUCAGGUGAAGUCUCAGCCUUUAUCAAGAUUUCAAUGAGACUGAAUGGGCAGAAGGUCUAUAUAUGGAGAGAAAGGCUUUUAGCAAGAAGGAGGAAAGAGGCAUUGAGGAAUGUUGGAAGGUAGGCUCAAUCUUUGCAAAAACUUGCUAGUUUGUGUCUAAAUGGGUAGUCAAAUUAGGAGGUGUCUCAUGCCACCCUUUGUCCCUUUUCUCUGAAAGUUUUUCCCAGUCCAAAGAAAUUGGGCCCCUGUAGCCAUAUUUGUACUCUGUGAUAAUCAGAGUACAUGUGGGCAACUCACAUGAGCUGGAUCAAUCAGAUUCAUUCUCUCUGGAAUUUAGGUAGUGGCACUGAAGCUGGAGGGUGAUGAAGCCAGAGGGUGGGAGAAGCCACUUUAUGACAUUAGUCUCAAUACUUACAAGGAAAAAAAAGGAUACACAUAGUUGAAGGGGAAAAAGAGAUAGAUACAUUGUAAUCUGUUCCCACGGAGCUGGAUAGAGUGGCUUCCUGGGCUCCUGAUGGUUUUUUGUUUGUUUGUUUUUGCUUUUUUUUUUUUUUUUUUUGGUUUUCUAACAAGUAGCUGGUUAUGCCCUUAUGAGAGCUGGUUGAUUGCCAUAUUCCUCAAUCCUGUGAAAUUAUCCACGGGUCCUUGAAAUAGAAUACUUUUUGCUAGUCUGAAUAGGUUUAUACAUCUUGCAACUUAAUGAAGCUUAUUUAAGACAACAUUUAUGACAGACGAUGGGCCAGGAUUUACUCCCAAAUCUCACUUGCUUACUUAGAAGUUUCCAUUCUUACUAACGACACCUUUAUGUGAUCCUCACAUGAUAUGCUCACCAAUGUAUAAUCCCAAUAAAUACUAGGAGCCUAUGUAGUCUAGUCUUUGCAUAAUUUGGCAGUCGUAGAAACUAGAGUUCAAAUCCUCAAAACUCAAUAAUGUUUGCUAAAACAGAAACCAGUGAAGUUUAUUUAGACAACAUGGUAAUGGGUUGGGUGUUCACACUGAUUUUAAUUGGAAAUCUUCCUUUAAAAAUUGGUUAGUUUCCCUCUAUAUCCAUAGUUUCUCAGUUAUGGCAUACUCUAAAAUGUCUCCAACUCAUUGGCCCUACAUAUCUCUACCCAUCAUCAUUUUCCACUGCUGCUGUCUUCCACUUCACCUCCAAAACAGAAGUCACCUCAUGAAGCCACAUCAGGUGUUUCUAAGGCAGCACCAAGAUCUCCCAGCUGGGUAUACCCCUUUCUUCCUUGCUGUCCACAGAGGCAUCUAUAAAGUAUAAUUCUUUUUCACAUCUCUUAAGGUUGGGAGAUUGAGGGGCUAUUGACACUGGGAAAAUGGGGAUGAAAUGUGAGGCCUUAUCAGCAGAUCAUCAUCCAGCAUGAAGAGUGAUGGUGAGACCUCUUGCUGCCUAUGCAAGCAUGCAGUGGACAGAGAAAACUAAACAUGAAUCCAAGUGUCAGAAUGAGCAAUCUGCCUCAUUUUAAAUUCUUGGAAGCUUUCAGUUAAAUGAGACUCCCUCAAACACUGAUAAAUUCAGAUUGAGAAAAACAAAGUUUUGUAUUUGAUUAGCAGAUUGCAUUUCUCUGCUAUGGGCAACAAAUAUCUGCUGUAUUUCAGUGAACUAUAGGGGGAGCAUAUCACAGUAUAUCUGCCUUCCAGUGUAUAUUUUGUAAGACGACUGUGUGAUGGUUAACUUUAUGUGUCAAGUUGACUGGGCCACGGGGAUCUCAGACUUUUGGCCAAACAUUAUUCUGGGUAUGUCUAUAUUUCUGGAUGAGAUUAAUAUUUGAAUCAGACUGUAUAAAGAAUAUUGCCCUCCCUAGUGUGGGGGUGGGGUGCUCAUCCAAGCAAUUAGAGACCUAGGUAGAACAGAAAGGCUGAGUAAAAGGGAAAUCCUCCUGCCUGACUUCUUGAGCUGGAACAUUGGUCUUCUGCUGCCCUCAGACUGGGACUUACACCAUUGGUUCUUCUGGUUCUCAGGUCUUCAGACUAAGACUGGAUAUACACAUUGGCUUUCCUGGGUCUUCAGCUUCCAAGCUGUAGAUCUUGGGAAUUCUCAAACUACAUAAUUCUUUGAGCCAAUCUCUCUCUCUCUCUCUCUCUCUCUCUGUCUCUCUCUCGCUCUCUCUCUCAUUCUCUGUAUGUGUGUGUGUGUGUGUGUGUGUACAGAGGAUUCUUGACUUAUAAUGGUUCAACUUACAAUUUUUUUGACAUUGUGAUACAUUUAUCGGGAUGUAACCCCAUCCUAAGUUGCGGAGUACAUAUAUGUAUAUAUUGGUUCUAUUUCUCUGGAGGACCCUAACAAGUACAGACUGAGAGAGUGGCUUUGUGAAGGUCCAGAAGCCAAGACAAGCAAAUUGAUGGAGUAUAGAAACUGAAAGCAUAGGUGUUGCAUGCAGCUUGGCCUGUGUUAGAACCCGGCUCUGUCAUUUAAUAUCUCUGAGUCUUAAUUUGCUCCUUUGGAAAAUGGAAAAAAUAAUAGUGCCUGAACCAAAGGGUAAUUGUGAACCUUAAGUAGGAUUAAUAUGGGCGUUUGCUUUGUCAGUUGCUCAGCACCUGACUCUUGGCAAGUGCUUGAUGAAUG